AGAGUUUGAUCCUGGCUCAGAACGAACGCUGGCGGCAUGCCUAACACAUGCAAGUCGAACGAACUCUUCGGAGUUAGUGGCGCACGGGUGCGUAACGCGUGGGAAUCUGCCCCUUGGUUCGGAAUAACAGUUAGAAAUGACUGCUAAUACCGGAUGAUGACUUCGGUCCAAAGAUUUAUCGCCAAGGGAUGAGCCCGCGUAGGAUUAGCUAGUUGGUGGGGGUAAAGGCCUACCAAGGCGACGAUCCUUAGCUGGUCUGAGAGGAUGAUCAGCCACACUGGGACUGAGACACGGCCCAGACUCCUACGGGAGGCAGCAGUGGGGGAAUAUUGGACAAUGGGCGAAAGCCUGAUCCAGCAAUGCCGCGUGAGUGAUGAAGGCCUUUAGGGUUGUAAAGCUCUUUUACCCCGGGAUGAUAAUGACAGUACCCGGGGAGAAAUAAAGCUCCGGGCUAAACUCCCGUGCCCAGCCCGCCGCCGGGU
rnacentral:rRNA from 1 species